GAUGAACGCUGGCGGCGUGCCUAAUACAUGCAAGUCGAGCGAACAGACGAGGAGCUUGCUCCUUUGACGUUAGCGGCGGACGGGUGAGUAACACGUAGGUAACCUACCUAUAAGACUGGGAUAACUUCGGGAAACCGGAGCUAAUACCGGAUAAUAUUUCGAACCGCAUGGUUCGAUAGUGAAAGAUGGCUUUGCUAUCACUUCUAGAUGGACCUGCGCCGUAUUAGCUAGUUGGUAAGGUAACGGCUUACCAAGACAACGAUACGUAGCCGACCUGGGCGAUGGAUCGGACACAGUGGAAGUGAGUGACGGUCCAGACUCCUACGGGGGGCAGCAGUAGGGUAUCUUCCGCAGUGGGCGAAAGCCUGACGGAGCAACGCCGCGUGGGUGAUGAAGGUCUUCGGAUCGUAAAACUCUGUUAUUAGGGAAGAACAAACGUGUAAGUAACUGUGCACGUCUUGACGGUACCUGAUCAGAAAGCCACGGCUAACUACGUG
rnacentral:rRNA from 1 species